rnacentral:rRNA from 1 species
GACGAACGCUGGCGGCGUGCUUAACACAUGCAAGUCGAACGAGAGCGUAGAGAAAGCUUGCUUUUUCUACAAUCUAGUGGCAAACGGGGGAGUAACGCGUAAACAACCUGCCCUAUGGAUGGGGACAACAGCGGGAAACGGCUGCUAAUACCGAAUACGUGCCGAAAGGGGCAUGACGAUCGGAAGAAAGGAUGGCCUCUAUUUAUAAGCUAUCGCCGGAGGAGGGGUUUGCGCCUGAUUAGCUAGUUGGGGGGGUAACGGCCCACCAAGGCGACGAUCAGUAGCCGGUCCGAGGAGAUGGACGGCCCCCUUGGGACUGAGACACGGUCCAGACUCCUACGGGGGGCAGCAGUGGGGAAUCUUCCGCCAUAGGCGGAAGCCUGACGGAGCAACGCCGCGUGGGUGAAGACGGCCUUCGGGUUGUAAAGCUCUGUUAUACGGGACGAAUAAUCUUGUGGUUAAUACCCAUGAGAAGUGACGGUACCGAAAGAGAAAGCCACGGCUAACUACGUG